UACGUAGGGGGCGAGCGUUGUCCGGAUUCAUUGGGCGUAAAGAGCUCGUAGGCGGUCUGUCGCGUCGGCUGUGAAAACCCGAGGCUCAACCUCGGGCCUGCAGUCGAUACGGGCAAACUAGAGUACUGCAGGGGAGACUGGAAUUCCUGGUGUAGCGGUGAAAUGCGCAGAUAUCAGGAGGAACACCGGUGGCGAAGGCGGGUCUCUGGGCAGUAACUGACGCUGAGGAGCGAAAGCGUGGGGAGCGAACAGG
rnacentral:rRNA from 1 species